AGAGUUUGAUCCUGGCUCAGGAUGAAUGCUGGCGGCGUACCUAACACAUGCAAGUCGAGCGGCAGCGCGAGUAGUUUACUACUUGGCGGCGAGCGGCGGACGGCUGAGUAACGCGUGGGAAUGUACCCCAAAGUGAGGAAUAACUGCUCGAAAGGGUAGCUAAUACCGCAUAUGGUCUUCGGAUUAAAGCCUUCGGGCGCUUUGGGAACAGCCCGCGUACGAUUAGAUAGUUGGUGGGGUAAAGGCUCACCAAGUCGACGAUCGUUAGCUGGUCUGAGAGGAUGACCAGCCAGACUGGAACUGAGACACGGUCCAGACUCCUACGGGAGGCAGCAGUGGGGAAUCUUCCACAAUGGGCGAAAGCCUGAUGGAGUAACGCCGCGUGCAGGAUGAAGGCCUUCGGGUUGUAAACUGCUUUUAUAAGUGAAGAGUAUGACGGUAACUUAUGAAUAAGCACCGGCUAACUACGUGCCAGCAGCCGCGGUCAUACGUAGGGUGCAAGCAUUAUCCGGAGUGACUGGGCGUAAAGAGUUGCGUAGGUGGUUCUGUAAGCGAAUAGUGAAAUUUGGUGGCUUAACCAUUCAAGCUAUUGUUCGAACUGCAGGACUUGAGAAUAGUAGAGGUAAUUGGAAUUUCUAGUGUAGGGGUGAUAUCCGUAGAUAUUAGAAGGAACACCAAUGGCGUANGCAGAUUACUGGACUAUUUCUGACACUAAGGCACGAAAGCGUGGGGAGCAAACCGGAUUAGAUGCCCGGGUAGUCCACGCCGUAAACGAUGGAUACUAGCUGUUGGAGGUAUCGACCCCUUCAGUANCAAAGCUAACGCGUU
rnacentral:rRNA from 1 species